rnacentral:rRNA from 1 species
AUUGAACACUGGCGGCAGGCCUAACACAUGCAAGUCGAGCGGGGUUUUCGGACCUAGCGGCGGACGGGUGAGUAAUGCGUAGGAAGCUACCCGAUAGAGGGGGAUACCAGUUGGAAACGACUGUUAAUACCGCAUAAUGUCUACGGACCAAAGUGUGGGACCUUCGGGCCACAUGCUAGCGGAUGCGCCUACGUGGGAUUAGCUAGUUGGUGAGGUAAUGGCGCACCAAGGCGACGAUCCCUAGCUGGUUUGAGAGGACGAUCAGCCACACUGGAACUGAGACACGGUCCAGACUCCUACGGGAGGCAGCAGUGGGGAAUAUUGGACAAUGGGCGCAAGCCUGAUCCAGCCAUGCCGCGUGUGUGAAGAAGGCCUUCGGGUCGUAAAGCACUUUCAGUAGGGAGGAAGCGUUGUGUGUUAAUAGUACACAGCGUUGACGUUACCUACAGAAGAAGCACCGGCUAACUCUGUGCCAGCCGCCGCUGUAAAAC